UGUGACCAACCACAUGGAGACUACUAACGGC
rnacentral:piRNA from 1 species